AGCCUUGCUCACCAUUUCCACCCUCCAUUUGCCACUUUGAAACCUAACCAACUUCAUACAAUCUCUUUACACACACUUCACUUGUUGGCCAAGGCCAUUUUGCUGUCCAAACACAUAGCUUCAAAAUAACCAAAACCCUGCCAUGCCACCAACAGUACAAAAACAAAAAAUGAAAAGGCCUCACUAUCUGUCAUGAAGCUAACAGCCACAGCCAAAACACACAGUGGAAAACCAUUCUUCACUCAUUCCCUCAAACUUCUCCUUUGUGCAUUUUCU
rnacentral:lncRNA from 1 species